GAUCUCGGAAGCUAAGCAGGGUCAGGCCCGGUUAGUACUUGGAUGGGAGACCGCCUGGGAAUACCAGGUGCUGUAAGCCUUUUUGAUUGGGGUCAAUUAAUUUUGGAAAAAAAUCCUGUCAAUCAUUCUUUUAGGACAUGUCCACACACUCUGUAAAAGGCCCAAAUUCAAACGGUCAAUAGGCUUACGGCCACACCUCCCUGAGCACGCCCGAUCUCGUCUGAUCUCGGAAGCUAAGCAGGGUCGGGCCCGGUUAGUACUUGGAUGGGAGACCGCCUGGGAAUACCAGGUGCUGUAAGCCUUUUUGAUUGGGGUCAAUUAGUUUGUGAAAAAAAUCCUGUCAAUCAUUCUUUUAGGACAUGUCCACACACUCUAUAAAAGGCCCAAAUUCAAACUGUCAAUAGGCUUACGGCCACACCUCCCUGAGCACGCCCGAUCUCGUCUGAUCUCGGAAGCUAAGCAGGGUCGGGCCCGGUUAGUACUUGGAUGGGAGACCGCCUGGGAAUACCAGGUGCUGUAAGCCUUUUUGAUUGGGGUCUAUUAAUUUUGGAAAAAAAUCCUGUCAAUCAUUCUUUUAGGACAUGUCCACACACUCUGUAAAAGGCCCAAAUUCAAACUGUCAAUAGGCUUACGGCCACACCUCCCUGAGCACGCCCGAUCUCGUCUGAUCUCGGAAGCUAAGCAGGGUCGGGCCCGGUUAGUACUUGGAUGGGAGACCGCCUGGGAAUACCAGGUGCUGUAAGCCUUUUUGAUUGGGGUCAAUUAAUUUUGGAAAAAAAUCCUGUCAAUCAUUCUUUUAGGACAUGUCCACACACUCUGUAAAAGGCCCAAAUUCAAACUGUCAAUAGGCUUACGG
ensembl:lncRNA